rnacentral:rRNA from 1 species
AAUUCGAUUGAGUUUGAUCAUGGCUCAGGACGAACGCUGGCGGCGUGCUUAACACAUGCAAGUGGAGCGACGAACCGGGCUUCGGCCCGGGGCAAAGCCGCGAACGGGUGAGUAACACGUGGGUUACCUGCCCCGAUGACUGGGACAACCCGGGGAAACCCGGGCUAAUACCGGAUGUGCCCUACGGGGGAAAGGAAGCUUCGGCCUCCGCAUCGGGAUGGGCCCGCGGCCCAUUAGCUUGUUGGUGAGGGUAACGGCCCACCAAGGCUUCGAUGGGUAGCUGGUCUGAGAGGACGAUCAGCCACACUGGGACUGAGACACGGCCCAGACUCCUACGGGAGGCAGCAGUGGGGAAUCUUGCGCGAUGCGCGAAAGCGUGACGCAGCAACGCCGCGUGGGGGAAGACGGCCUUCGGGUUGUAAACCCCUUUCAGUUGGAACGAAGCUUCGCCGGUGAAUAGCCGGCUGGAGUGACGGUACCUUCAGAAGAAGCCCCGGCUAACUACGUGCCAGCAGCCGCGGUAAUACGUAGGGGGCAAGCGUUGUCCGGAAUUAUUGGGCGUAAAGAGCGUGUAGGCGGUUCGGUAAGUCCGCUGUGAAAGUCCAGGGCUCAACCCUGGAAAGCCGGUGGAUACUGCCGGGCUAGAGUCCGGAAGAGGCGAGUGGAAUUCCUGGUGUAGCGGUGAAAUGCGCAGAUAUCAGGAGGAACACCGAUGGCGAAGGCAGCUCGCUGGG